rnacentral:lncRNA from 1 species
GUCUCAGGAUAUAAAUAAUGAGUAAUGAUACAUAGAGUUGGUUAUUUGCUUGCCAUAAAUAAUAGAAAGUUGGUUAUUUGCUUGCCAUAAAGUUCCCGGGGAAGAUUUAUUAUUCCCCAUGGGUCAUGGAUAUAGGUCAAGUAUAUCUAACUGUGGUCGUGGUGGUGGUGCAAACCAUACUGCUUGUGGUGUGGAAAUGGUGAGAGAUGGAAGAGAAGAAGAAGAAGAAUCAUGAAAGAAUAAUACAAUGAAGAAAGAAAAGAAAAAAAGAAAAAAAAGGAGAAAAUGGGAGGUGUAUAAUCUUGUCUAUAUGGUCUACAAUUGGAUAUGUGCCUCCGUCCUUAAUUA